UACGUAGGGUGCAAGCGUUGUCCGGAAUUAUUGGGCGUAAAGAGCUCGUAGGCGGUUUGUUGCGUCGGCUGUGAAAUCCCGAGGCUCAACCUCGGGUCUGCAGUCGAUACGAGCAAACUAGAGUGUUGCAGGGGAGACUGGAAUUCCUGGUGUAGCGGUGAAAUUCGUAGAUAUCAGGAGGAACACCGGUGGCGAAGGCGGCUUUCUGGACACUUACUGACGCUGAGACGCGAAAGCGUGGGGAGCAAACAGG
rnacentral:rRNA from 1 species